rnacentral:rRNA from 1 species
UACGUAGGGGGCAAGCGUUGUCCGGAAUUAUUGGGCGUAAAGAGCUCGUAGGCGGUGUGUCGCGUCGGCCGUGAAAACCUGCAGCUUAACUGUGGGCUUGCGGUCGAUACGGGCAUCACUGGAGUUCGGCAGGGGAGACUGGAAUUCCUGGUGUAGCGGUGAAAUGCGCAGAUAUCAGGAGGAACACCAGUGGCGAAGGCGCCGCUCUGGGCCGAGACUGACGCUGAGGAGCGAAAGCGUGGGUAGCAAACAGG